rnacentral:rRNA from 1 species
UGGGGAAUUUUUCGCAAUGGGCGCAAGCCUGACGAAGCAACGCCGCGUGGAGGAUGAAGGCCUUCGGGUCGUAAACUCCUGUCGACCGGGACGAAAGCAGUCUGGGUCAAUACCCCGGGCUGUUGACUGUACCGGUGGAGGAAGCCACGGCUAACUCUGUGCCAGCAGCCGCGGUAAUACAGAGGUGGCAAGCGUUGUUCGGAAUUACUGGGCGUAAAGGGCGCGCAGGCGGUCUUGCAAGUCCUGUGUGAAAUCCCCCGGCUCAACUGGGGAACUGCACAGGAAACUGCGAGGCUUGAGUUCGGGAGAGGGAAGCGGAAUUCCGGGUGUAGCGGUGAAAUGCGUAGAUAUCCGGAGGAACACCGGUGGCGAAGGCGGCUUCCUGGACCGACACUGACGCUGAGGCGCGAAAGCUAGGGGAGCAAACGGG